rnacentral:rRNA from 1 species
CCCUUAGAUGUUCUGGGCCGCACGCGCGCUACACUGACGAUGGCAACGAGUUUUUCCUCCGCCGAAAGGUGUGGGUAAUCUUUUGAAACAUCGUCGUGCUGGGGAUAGAUCAUUGCAAUUUUUGAUCUUGAACGAGGAAUUCCUAGUAAGCGCGAGUCAUCAGCUCGCGUUGAUUACGUCCCUGCCCUUUGUACACACCGCCCGUCGCUACUACCGAUUGAAUGGUUUAGUGAGGACUCCUGAUUGGCGCCGCCGCCCCGGCAACGGAGCAGCGGACUGCCGAAAAGUUGUUCAAACUUGAUCAUUUAGAGGAAGUAAAAGUCGUAACA